GACGGUAUAGCUCAGUGGUAGAGUGUGUACUUAGCAUGCACAGAGUCCUGGGUUCAAUCCCUGGUACCGCCG
rnacentral:tRNA from 1 species